rnacentral:rRNA from 1 species
AUGGAGUCAAAUGAUGUUGGAAGUAAUUUUGUGGGAAGGGGGAUGUCAAUAGCUUCAAAACGAGCUAAAGAACGUCAAAAUCGGAGUUCGGAUGAAUUAGUUAUGGCCGAAACAAGAAUCAGCCGAAGUCAAUAUCUACAGGUAUCGGACGUCCGUAAAUGGACGGAUGUCCGGUCCCCGGACGUCCGGUCGGGUCGGAAAUCCGCUAAUUUCAGCUCGGGGUCGGGGUUCCGGUCAUCCGGUAAGUGUCGGACUUCCGGUGGUUCCUGGGGCCCCGGACGUCCGGUAAAGUGUCGGUCGUCCGGUGGGUCGGGGUCAACGCGAAAUUUCAGAUUCGGGACGCGAUUUUGGGCGGAAAAUGGGGAUUUUGGGGUCAAAAUUGAGCAAAUUUCGUGGAUGGAAGAUGGAGAAACUUAG